CGUAAAAAUGGAUUGAUUAUAAAUUAUAAUUUGUGUAAUUACUGUUGGUACUUCGAUCAACAAUAGUAACUAGAUUUCGGGUCGGUGCAUAAAAUCCGUCUCGUCAAAUAACAGCGCACUUGAAAUGUGAGCUCUUAUUUUGUUUAGUUCACUUCAAACACAGCCAAUGUCAACCCGUCUCACAAUACCGCAGUGUGUAUUCAAAAGUUGCAAAAAUAAGGCCCGAAAAAGCAAUUUAACGGCCGGAGUAUCUUACUUUCGCUUUCCUAGCAAUCACGUGUGCAGAAUGGAUCUCGAUUGUCGCCAGAGAAACAAGAGAUGACUUUUAUAAGCCAGCUAAGAACUCCGCUUAUUGACACUGGACAUCUUUGCCUUCCGUGCUCACGGCUACUGAAAUGUGGCCGAAACAUUGUAAUAAAAAUACCACGCUUGAAACCGUUUAAA